rnacentral:rRNA from 1 species
GAUGAACGCUAGCGGCGUGCUUAGCACAUGCAAGUCGAACGAAGCGCUUAAACGGAUUUCUUCGGAAUGAAGUUUUUGCGACUGAGUGGCGGACGGGUGAGUAACGCGUGGGUAACCUGCCCCGGAGCGGGGGAUAACAUUUGGAAACAGAUGCUAAUACCGCAUAACAACAAAAGCCGCAUGGUGCAGGGGUAAAACUCCGGUGGUAUGAGAUGGACCCGCGUCUGAUUAGGUAGUUGGUGGGGUAACGGCCUACCAAGCCGACGAUCAGUAGCCGACCUGAGAGGGUGACCGGCCACAUUGGGACUGAGACACGGCCCAA